rnacentral:rRNA from 1 species
GAUGAACGCUGGCGGCGUGCCUAAUACAUGCAAGUCGAGCGAACAGACGAGGAGCUUGCUCCUCUGACGUUAGCGGCGGACGGGUGAGUAACACGUGGAUAACCUACCUAUAGGACUGGGAUAACUUCGGGACACCGGAGCUAAUACCGGAUAAUAUAUUGAACCGCAUGGUUCAAUAGUGAAAGACGGUUUUGCUGUCACUUAUAGAUGGAUCCGCGCCGCAUUAGCUAGUUGGUAAGGUAACGGCUUACCAAGGCAACGAUGCGUAGCCGACCUGAGAGGGUGAUCGGCCACACUGGAACUGAGACACGGUCCAGACUCCUACGGGAGGCAGCAGUAGGGAAUCUUCCGCAAUGGGCGAAAGCCUGACGGAGCAACGCCGCGUGAGUGAUGAAGGUCUUCGGAUCGUAAAACUCUGUUAUUAGGGAAGAACAAAUGUGUAAGUAACUAUGCACGUCUUGACGGUACCUAAUCAGAAAGCCACGGCUAACUACGUG